rnacentral:rRNA from 1 species
AGAGUUUGAUCCUGGCUCAGGAUGAACGCUAGCUACAGGCUUAACACAUGCAAGUCGAGGGGCAGCAUGUUGGUUGCUUGCAACCAAUGAUGGCGACCGGCGCACGGGUGAGUAACGCGUAUCCAACCUACCCUUGUCCAUCGGAUAACCCGUCGAAAGGCGGCCUAACACGAUAUGCGGUUCUCAGCAGGCAUCUAACGAGAACGAAAUGUGAAGGAGAAGGAUGGGGAUGCGUCUGAUUAGCUUGUUGGCGGGGUAACGGCCACCAAGGCGACGAUCAGGUAGGGUUCUGAGAGGAACGGUCCCCCANAUUGGAACUGAGACACGGUCCAAACUCCUACAGGCA